rnacentral:piRNA from 1 species
UGAGCUUCUCUUUAAACUGCACAUGGG